UUUUAACCUUUAUUUAAUCAGGUUAGUCCCAGUGAGAUCAAGAUUUCUUUUACAAGUUAGACUUGGACAAUUUUAAAGUUUCCAGUUCACCUAACCUGCAU